CAAAGGCGCACGCAGCCCCAAGGGAUGCUUGGCUGUGACCCUCGGAUGGGGCUGUCUCUCCUCAUCCCAGCAGCAGGCAGCCAAUGAAAAAGCGGUUCAGGGGGUUCCCGAACCAAUGGCAGCCCGACGGGAUGUGAGGACCGGCCACUAGAAACACCCAUGGAGUCCUGGCCCAGAGCAUGGAGGGGGGACGGGACGCUGUCUUCCCAGAUGCCCCGGACAGAGGAACGAGAGAGGGUAGCCUCAGAGUGACCAGGAAGAUGAGAGAUGGAGAUUUUGAGCUGAACGUGUUAGAGGAGGAACAGUCCCAUGUGACUAUGAAGUCCAGGAAGCCUAACUGCCCUGCAGACUCAAGUGUCCUGUGAGUGGAGGCACCACAGCUAAGAACUGGACAUGUCUUUGACAAGGACAGCAGUGGAGAGGACAGGAGCAUAUCAGUCCAGCACUAAUAUCAUGAUAGGAAGAGAGCUUCCCAGAAGUGUGCUGAUGGAUUAAACAAUGAAUACAAUCACAAUUCAGAACUUGCAAGGGAAGAGGCUGUUGAAUAAUGGUGAUGGAAUCCAACCUGUCUCCAACACUAAACUCUAAAUCCUCAAGGGCAGGACCUUCUCCCAUCCAAGUACCAACCAGGCCCAACCCUGCUUAGCUUUCAAGAUCAGACAUGCCCAGGGUGUCAUGGCCAUAGGCCUGUGCUUUCUCUUUGUGCUGUGCUUCUCUUCAGACCUAGCAAAGAAUCCGAUACUUGGCAGGUUCUCUGUGACAUGCGGGAUGGAGGGACGCCUCUAGGGAACAUGGAGCAGACCAUUCCCCAUAGCUGGCAAGAAAGGGAGAUAUUUUGGCCGGGC
rnacentral:lncRNA from 1 species